CGAACAAUAUGAGAACGCUACGAAAACGGUACAGUGUAAACGGGGUCUUAGGCAGCGUUUACACUGUACCGUUUUCGUAGCGUUCUCGUAUUGUUCAAG